rnacentral:misc_RNA from 1 species
GAUGAAGAACGUAGCGAAAUGCGAUAAGUAGUGUGAAUUGCAGAAUUCAGUGAAUCAUCGAAUCUUUGAACGCACAUUGCGCCCCUUGGUAUUCCAUGGGGCAUGCCUGUUCGAGCGUCAUUUGUACCUUCAAGCUUUGCUUGGUGUUGGGUGUUUGUCUCGCCUUUGCGUGUAGACUCGCCUUAAAAUAAUUGGCAGCCGGCGUAAUGAUUUCGGAGCGCAGUACAUCUCGCGCUUUGCACUCAUAACGACAGCGUCCAAAAGUACAUUUUACACUCUUGACCUCGGAUCAGGUAGGGAUACCCGCUGAACUUAAGCAUAUCAAUAAGCGGAGGA